CCUACGGGAGGCAGCAGUGGGGAAUAUUGGGCAAUGGGCGCAAGCCUGACCCAGCAACGCCGCGUGAAGGAAGAAGGCUUUCGGGUUGUAAACUUCUUUUGUCAGGGAAGAGUAGAAGACGGUACCUGACGAAUAAGCCACGGCUAACUACGUGCCAGCAGCCGCGGUAAUACGUAGGUGGCAAGCGUUGUCCGCAUUUACGGGGUGUAAAGGGCGUGUAGCCGGGUUGACAAGUCAGAUGUGAAAUCCUGCGGCUUAACCGCAGAACUGCAUUUGAAACUGUUGAUCUUGAGUACUGGAGAGGCAGACGGAAUUCCUAGUGUAGCGGUGAAAUGCGUAGAUAUUAGGAGGAACACCAGUGGCGAAGGCGGUCUGCUGGACAGCAACUGACGGUGAGGCGCGAAAGCGUGGGGAGCAAACAGGAUUAGAUACCCCAGUAGUC
rnacentral:rRNA from 1 species